rnacentral:rRNA from 1 species
UACGUAGGGGGCAAGCGUUGUCCGGAAUUAUUGGGCGUAAAGCGCACGUAGGCGGCUAUCUAAGUCGGAUGUGAAAUCCCUCGGCUUAACCAAGGAAGUGCACCCGAAACUGGAUAGCUUGAGUACAGAAGAGGAUCGCGGAAUUCCCGGUGUAGAGGUGAAAUUCGUAGAUAUCGGGAGGAACACCAGUGGCGAAGGCGGCGAUCUGGGCUGAUACUGACGCUGAGGUGCGAAAGCGUGGGGAGCAAACAGG